rnacentral:rRNA from 1 species
CAUGCAAGUCGUACGAGAAAUCCUGGGCAACUGGGAAAGUAAAGUGGCGCACGGGUGAGUAACGCGUGGGUAAUCUACCCGGUAGUGGGGGAUAACCCUCCGAAAGGAGGGCUAAUACCGCAUAAUAUCUCCUCCUCAGAAGAGAUAGAGAUUAAAGGUAGCCUCUGUAUAUGCUAUCGCUUCCGGAUGAGCCUGCGUCCUAUUAGUUAGUUGGUAGGGUAAUGGCCUACCAAGACUACAAUGGGUAGCCGGUCUGAGAGGAUGUACGGCCACACUGGGACUGAGAUACGGCCCAGACUCCUACGGGAGGCAGCAGUGGGGAAUCUUGCGCAAUGGGGGAAACCCUGACGCAGCGACGCCGCGUGGAUGAUGAAGGCCUUCGGGUUGUAAAGUCCUGUUUUGGGGGAAGAAACCUUAAGGGUCCAAUAAACCCUUGAAGCUGACGG